rnacentral:misc_RNA from 1 species
GUUUUAGUUGAUGUGCGCCUGCUCGGGGGAUCUGGAAUUCUGAUGUGGAGAACGACACAGUUGGUGCGUGGUCAAUUUGCACUAACAUUUGAGUGAUUGAUUAGUGGUGCUCUAUAGCUUUUCUUUACAAUGAAAUGAUAGAAUAUCCUAGUGGAUUGUUCCUUGGGUGCGUUUGCAGAUUCGUGAGAAAAACGUUUUCUAGAAUUCUAUUUUCAUCCACGAAAAGUUGACAUAUGGGAUGAGAUUG